UGCAAGUCGAGCGAUGAAACACCUUCGGGUGUGAAUUAGCGGCGAACGGGUGAGGAACACGUGAAGAAUCUGCCUUCAACUCUGGGAUAACUCCGGGAAACCGGGGCUAAUACCGGAUAUGAGCCUCGAUCGCAUGAUUGGGGCUGGAAAGUUUUUCGGUUGAAGAUGACUUCGCGGCCUAUCAGCUUGUUGGUGAGGUAAUGGCUCACCAAGGCGACGACGGGUAGCCGGCCUGAGAGGGCGACCGGCCACACUGGGACUGAGACACGGCCCAGACUCCUACGGGAGGCAGCAGUGGGGAAUAUUGGGCAAUGGAGGAAACUCUGACCCAGCGACGCCGCGUGAGGGAUGAAGGCCUUCGGGUUGUAAACCUCUUUCAGUAGGGAAGAAGCGAAAGUGACGGUACCUACAGAAGAAGCACCGGCUAACUAUGUGCCAGCAGCCGCGGUAAUACAUAGGGUGCAAGCGUUGUCCGGAAUUAUUGGGCGUAAAGAGCUCGUAGGUGGUUCGAUACGUCGGAUGUGAAAAUCAGGGGCUCAACCCCUGACCUGCAUCCGAUACGGUCGAGCUAGAGUUUGGUAGGGGAGACUGGAAUUCCUGGUGUAGCGGUGGAAUGCGCAGAUAUCAGGAGGAACACCGAUGGCGAAGGCAGGUCUCUGGGCCAAUACUGACACUGAGGAGCGAAAGCGUGGGGAGCGAACAGGAUUAGAUACCCUGGUAGUCCACGCCGUAAACGGUGGGCGCUAGUUGUGCGAACCUUCCACGGUUUGUGCGACGCAGCUAACGCAUUAAGCGCCCCGCCUGGGGAGUACGAUCGCAAGAUUAAAACUCAAAGGAAUUGACGGGGCCCC
rnacentral:rRNA from 1 species